rnacentral:rRNA from 1 species
GAUGAACGCUGGCGGCGUGCUUAACACAUGCAAGUCGAACGGAAAGGCUCCUGCUUGCAGGGGUACUCGAGUGGCGAACGGGUGAGUAACACGUGGGUGAUCUGCCCUGCACUUCGGGAUAAGCCUGGGAAACUGGGUCUAAUACCGGAUAGGACGAUGGUUUGGAUGCCAUUGUGGAAAGUUUUUUCGGUGUGGGAUGAGCUCGCGGCCUAUCAGCUUGUUGGUGGGGUAAUGGCCUACCAAGGCGUCGACGGGUAGCCGGCCUGAGAGGGUGUACGGCCCCAUUGGGACUGAGAUACGGCCCAGACUCCUACGGGAGGCAGCAGUGGGGAAUAUGGCACAAUGGGCGCAAGCCUGAUGCAGCGACGCCGCGUGGGGGAUGACGGCCUUCGGGUUGUAAACUCCUUUCGCUAGGGACGAAGCGCAAGUGACGGUACCUGGAGAAGAAGCACCGGCUAACUACGU